ACGCUGGCGGCGUGCUUAACACAUGCAAGUCGAACGAAGCACCUUAUUCUGAUUUCUUCGGAAUGAAAAAUUUGGUGACUGAGUGGCGGACGGGUGAGUAACGCGUGGGUAACCUGCCUCAUACAGGGGGAUAACAGUUAGAAAUGACUGCUAAUACCGCAUAAGACCACAGCACCGCAUGGUGCAGGGGUAAAAACUCCGGUGGUAUGAGAUGGACCCGCGUCUGAUUAGGUAGUUGGUGGGGUAACGGCCUACCAAGCCGACGAUCAGUAGCCGACCUGAGAGGGUGACCGGCCACAUUGGGACUGAGACACGGCCCAAACUCCUACGGGAGGCAGCAGUGGGGAAUAUUGCACAAUGGGGGAAACCCUGAUGCAGCGACGCCGCGUGAGCGAUGAAGUAUUUCGGUAUGUAAAGCUCUAUCAGCAGGGAAGAAAAUGACGGUACCUGACUAAGAAGCACCGGCUAAAUACGUGCCAGCAGCCGCGGUAAUACGUAUGGUGCAAGCGUUAUCCGGAUUUACUGGGUGUAAAGGGAGCGUAGACGGAGUGGCAAGUCUGAUGUGAAAACCCGGGGCUCAACCCCGGGACUGCAUUGGAAACUGUCAAUCUGGAGUACCGGGAGAGGUAAGCGGAAUUCCUAGUGUAGCGGUGAAAUGCGUAGAUAUUGGAGGAACACCAGUGGCGAAGGCGGCUUACUGGACGGUAACUGACGUUGAGGCUCGAAAGCGUGGGGAGCAAACAGGAUUAGAUACCCUGGUAGUCCACGCCGUAAACGAUGACUACUAGUGUCGGGCAGCAAGCUGUUCGGUGCCGCAGCAAACGCAAUAAGUAGUCCACUGGGGGAGUACGUUCGCAAGAAUGAAACUCAAGGAUUGAC
rnacentral:rRNA from 1 species